AACGCGAAGAACCUUACCUGGGCUUGAACCGCACAGGACCAUCUUUGGAAACAGAGACUUCCCGCAAGGGACCUGUGUAGAGGUGCUGCAUGGCUGUCGUCAGCUCGUGCCGUGAGGUGUUGGGUUAAGUCCCGCAACGAGCGCAACCCUUACUCAUAGUUGCUACCUGCAAGGGAGAACUCUAUGAGGACUGCUCCGGAUAACGGAGAGGAAGGUGGGGAUGAGGUCAAGUCAGCAUGGCCUUUAUGUCCAGGGCUACACACGUGUUACAAUGCGCGCUACAGAGCGUUGCAAACCCGCGAGGGGGAGCUAAUCGCACAAAAGCGCGCUCAGUUCGGAUUGCAGUCUGCAACUCGACUGCAUGAAGCCGGAAUCGCUAGUAAUGGCGCAUCAGAACGGCGCCGUGAAUACGUUCCCGGGCCUUGUA
rnacentral:rRNA from 1 species